GGUUACUGUGACUAAAAGAAGAAAGAUGCUUUUUGCAAAAUAACUCGAAUAUGUAUGGAGUUGUGAUGAUAUUGUGAAUGUUAGUAACUUAAUUUGUAUCUAGUUUUUGAUUCCAUAUGGGACCAGUUGACCACUGCUUCUAAAAAAAGAUCAACUUUAUCUGCUUAAUUGCUAGAGUUUUUAUGAAAGUAUUGUUCUGAAAUAUUUUAAUCAGUUGCUUACAUGAUGGCCAAACUUCUUCUAUUGAUGCCCAAACGUUAAUGACGCUCUUAAAAUGGGAAUGUUUAGCCAAUUAUUUUUUUUUAAGGCAAAUCACAAAUUCAUCUAAACAAUUUCUAGUCAAUUGAAAGGCUAAGGUUGAUGGCACAAACUGCUGACAGUAACCUUGUUCUAUUUUCAGAGUCUAAAGCGCCAGCACUCAUUCUGUGAGAAUGCAACUCGAAAGAAACAGGAUCGGUUCAUACGACGACUGUCUGGGACCCUCUACAACACCAGUUUUAACCAUCACGAGUCAGUGAGACAAGAGAGGCAGACAGACUGAUGUAAAAGCCCAAACCACAUUUGGGCUUUAAAAGUCUUGAUCCAAUCUACAGGGAAUUGUGUAACUCUACUGUACAGUGUUUCGUGAUAAACAUUUUCUUAUGAACACUAUUAUAAAAUUGAAUACAAUAUUAUUGAAAGAUAUUGUUUAAAGUUUUAUAUACUGACCAUAAUGAGAUUCAACAUUGAACCCAACCAGAAAGACACUAUAUUACAAAUGGCGCCCAACGGGGGACAAGACCAUUGCGUCCUUCACGUUCAAGUUUGGAGGAUCUACGGACUAGAACUUUAUCAGUUUUUAUUGUGUUUUAUCAGUGACACUGAAUUUUGUGUGUUAUGUGAAGUGUGUGACUUUAACCAGUGCCGCUGCAAAUUAAAGGACUGGAUAGUGACAUUGUGAUCUAGUGGCCAAUUUCGCAGAUGUAACCUGUAACAGUAUC